rnacentral:rRNA from 1 species
AUUAACUGUACAAAGGUAGCAUAAUCAAUUGGUUUUUAAAUGAAAUCUGGAAUGAAAGGAUUAAUGAAAUAUAUACUGACUCAUAUUUAUUUUAUGAAUUUAAAAUUUUAAUAAAAAUGUUAAAAUUUAUUUAUGGGACGAUAAGACCCUAUAGAAUUUUAUAUUAAAUUAAUUUUGUAAUUAAAUAUAAAAUUUAAUUUAAUAUUUAGUUGGGAGAAUUAUUAAAUUUAAUAAAUUUUAAUUAAUAAAAACUUUAAUUAAAGAAAAUUUAUUGAUUUUUAAUUUAAAAUUAAUAGAUUAAAUUACCUUAGGGAUAACAGCGUAAUAUUUUUUUAUAGAUCUUAUAGAAAAAAAUCAUUGCGACCUCGAUGUUGAAUUAAGAAAAAUUUUA